rnacentral:rRNA from 1 species
GACGAACGCUGGCGGCGUGCCUAAUACAUGCAAGUCGAACGCAGUGGGGACGGGUGCGUAACACGUGGGUAACCUCCCAUCAGAGGGGAUAACACUUGGAAACAGGUGCUAAACCGAUAUUGAUUUAUGGACCCGCGGUGCAUUAGCUAGUUGGUGAGGUAACGGCUCACCAAGGCCACGAUGCGUAGCCGACGUGAGAGGGUGAUCAGCCCCACUGGGACUGAGAGACGGCCCAGACUCCUACGGGAGGCAGCAGUAGGGAAUCUUCGGCAAUGGGCGAAAGUCUGACCGAGCAACGCCGCGUGAGUGAGGAAGGUGGUCGGAUCGUAAAAGUCUGUUGUUAGAGAAGCGGUAUCUAACCAGAAAGCCACGGCUAACUACGUGCCAGCAGCCGCGGUAAUAC